AAAUUGAAGAGUUUGAUCAUGGCUCAGAUUGAACGCUGGCGGCAGGCCUAACACAUGCAAGUCGAACGGUAACAGGAAGCAGCUUGCUGCUUUGCUGACGAGUGGCGGACGGGUGAGUAAUGUCUGGGAAACUGCCUGAUGGAGGGGGAUAACUACUGGAAACGGUAGCUAAUACCGCAUAACGUCGC
rnacentral:rRNA from 3 species